UUGUGCCUCUGCCGUUGUCAUGAGAAGAAAAUGUUGUGGCCAGCCCAGUGGCCCAAGUAGGAGGAAGAGAGACACAUGAAGCAGGUCUGGACGCACACUCAGUCUAGAUUAGCUACUCCCCGGCCAACCCACAGAUGUACAAGCAAGACCUAAAGCACCAUUAGACGUCCUCCAUCGGAUCUUGCAACAGACGUUGGUGUACUUGUCUUAAGUGCUGGCAAAAAGGACCUAAUGGAAUCCUAGACUUGAGAUAACCAUGUCAAGCAAAAGAAGCCCAACAAGUUACCUGAAGUUCAAGAACAGAGGGAGGGGCCAAGAUGGCGGAACAGCAUGGAAGUUUUUUUUGCGUCUCCCAUCCCUGAAAUACAGCCGGAUCAACACUAAACCAUCCUGCACACCUAGAAAACUGAUUUGAGGAUUAACACAACAAUCUGCACAACCUGAACCAGAGAACUCAGCAGGUA